AUUAACAGGAUUAGAUACCCUGGUAGUCCACGCUGUAAACGAUGUCGAUUUGGAGGUUGUGCCCUUGAGGCGUGGCUUCCGGAGCUAACGCGUUAAAUCGACCGCCUGGGGAGUACGGCCGCAAGGUUAAAACUCAAAUGAAUUGACGGGGGCCCGCACAAGCGGUGGAGCAUGUGGUUUAAUUCGAUGCAACGCGAAGAACCUUACCUACUCUUGACAUCCAGAGAACUUUCCAGAGAUGGAUUGGUGCCUUCGGGAACUCUGAGACAGGUGCUGCAUGGCUGUCGUCAGCUCGUGUUGUGAAAUGUUGGGUUAAGUCCCGCAACGAGCGCAACCCUUAUCCUUUGUUGCCAGCGGUUCGGCCGGGAACUCAAAGGAGACUGCCAGUGAUAAACUGGAGGAAGGUGGGGAUGACGUCAAGUCAUCAUGGCCCUUACGAGUAGGGCUACACACGUGCUACAAUGGCGUAUACAAAGAGAAGCGACCUCGCGAGAGCAAGCGGACCUCAUAAAGUACGUCGUAGUCCGGAUUGGAGUCUGCAACUCGACUCCAUGAAGUCGGAAUCGCUAGUAAUCGUAGAUCAGAAUGCUACGGUGAAUACGUUCCCGGGCCUUGUACACACCGCCCGUCACACCAUGGGAGUGGGUUGCAAAAGAAGUAGGUAGCUUAACCUUCGGGGGGCGCUUACCACUUUGUGAUUCAUGACUGGGGUGAAGUCGUAACAAGGUAGCCAAU
rnacentral:rRNA from 1 species